UGAGUGACGCAGGUUAACGCGGUGAAGUCGACCGCCCUGGGGAGUACGGCCGCAAGGUUAAAACUCAAAGGAAUUGACGGGGACCCGCACAAGCGGUGGAUGAUGUGGAUUAAUUCGAUGCAACGCGAAAAACCUUACCUACCCUUGACAUGCCAGGAACCUUGCUGAGAGGCGAGGGUGCCUUCGGGAGCCUGGACACAGGUGCUGCAUGGCUGUCGUCAGCUCGUGUCGUGAGAUGUUGGGUUAAGUCCCGCAACGAGCGCAACCCUUGUCACUAGUUGCCAUCAUUUGGUUGGGCACUCUAGUGAGACUGCCGGUGACAAACCGGAGGAAGGUGGGGAUGACGUCAAGUCCUCAUGGCCCUUAUGGGUAGGGCUUCA
rnacentral:rRNA from 1 species